GUGCUUGCUUCAGCAGCACAUAUACUAAAAUUGGAAGGAUACAGAGAUUAGCAUGGCCCCUGUGAAAGGAGGACAUGCAAAUUCAUGAAGCGUUCCAUAUUAAA
ensembl:snRNA U6 U6 spliceosomal RNA